AGGAAUUAGUGUUAAGGUAAUUGGAGGUUUGAAGUAAAUUCUGUGACUGUGUGGACUUGGGGGUGUCUCAACAAUAGUUUUACCAAAGGGGGCGCUGUUCUCAAAAAAAGUCAUGAUUGACAGAGUUGUUAGAAUGGUAUAAAAGUCAUUUAUUUAUUAGACAAAACAAUCUUAGACAUCUGUAAAAGAAAUCUAUAUCUAACAACAUAAGUAUAUAUAAAAUGUACAUUUUGUGCAUUGCAAACUCUCAAAGAGGAAAAAAAAUUAAGAUAAAAACACAACAACAGAACUUUGAUCCACACAGACACUCGUUUUCAAAAACCCUUCAUCGUCACUUCUUUUCAGUCAUCCGUAACAAAAUUCUAAAGACGAAAAAAGAAAAACAUUUGAAAUGUUAUCAUUCGAUUGGAUUGAAUAACUUUAACAAAAACAUUGACUUGUAUUAUAGUGUUCAAAGGAAGGGGCGAGGUUCCUGCAGCGGCAGUGGCCGGACCUGCAGUCGGUUCUAGUGAUGGACCAUUUCUGAGCUCCUGUAGACGAAAAAAUGUUCCAGAUGUAAUGAUAAAUCACUCAGUGAAGACAAUGAGGCCCUGUCUGGAAAACCACAGAAAUACACACACAGGCUAACAUACACAUCCACCCAGAAUGAUUUGGCAUCACACACUUAAACACAAGAUGUGCAGGCAGCUGCUGUUCAUCCUUCUAUUACAGUUUGUCAAAAAGGUUUUUUAAACAAAAACUACUAGUUAAAAGGAAAUACAUUGCAAAACAAGAGUACUUUUCUACACACACAUUUUCAUUUACACAAGGUAACAUCCCAAACAAGAAAAGCGCCUCCUCUUUUCUCACGUUUUAAAGCAAUACUAUAAUGUGUCAUCUCAAUGAUUGUGAUUGUGUUUUGUCAGUGUAAACAAAUAAAUAAAUAUUUACAAGCAUAAAACAAGUCGAGCAAACAAAACAAGCAGGGCAUAAAUAAUUUACAAAAAAAAGAGAGAAUCAUACAGACCUAGUAUAAACAUCUUAGACAUUCACUAAAAUGGCUUCUGCUGAACAAAAAACAAACAAAACAAAAACAUUCAGGUGAAAAAAAAAUCAAGCUUUUGUUAACAUUAGUGAGACAAUGUAAAAUGAAAGUUCUUAAAUUCUUAACUCAUUUGGAACAGGUAAAAAAACCACAAACGUCUAGGAGAUAUAGAAAGUAAAAACAGCAAAUUUGGCUUUUAAGUGGUUGAACACUUACUCCAUAAACAUGUAGACAUAUGCAAGUACAAGAGUUAUAACUAGAUAAUAUUUCUAAACGUCUCCACUCCCACUUGUCUUUUGCAGCGGGGAGACGUGUACAAGUCGUCAGGAGAACUGUAACCAAACAUCACCUCCAAUCCACUGGAUGAAGAAGUCACGGCAGGUAGUGAAGAUAGCAGACAGCAGAAGAAAUCACAAAACACUGGGAACCCAAGAUGAGCAUCUGCCUGACAGAAACCGAAGAAGACGGAAUCAGGAAGAUGAGCGACAGUAAAGAGCAAUAAGGCUCUGAGUUCCCUCCAAGAACAGAGUACAGAGCAGUAGAGAGGCUUAAGAGCAACAGAAUUUGUUAAAGGUGCGGUCCUCUGAUGUGGUGACAAGAAGGUUUUUAUUCCAAGGACAAAACUCAGCUGAUAUCAAAGGUCCCAGAUGCCCUGUCAAGGUA